GGAAGGGAAAAGCUAGGUAAGCAACCGUAGUCGUAGAUCAAAUGUGAACGCUCUCCCGCCACCUUGGUUAAAAAAUGACAAUGCGUCGAUCGCUUGCUUUCAUUCUUCUUCUCCGAUAAAGACACCUCAAAAUAAACAUCCUCUCUUUCUACUGCACCGGCCGACAAUGCCAACGGCCUCUUCAUCUCUCUUCCUCCUCUGUUUCCUCUGUCUCUUCUCUGUCCUCAAAUCGCAAUCCGACCAGCUUCAAAUUCUCCUCAACCUCAAAACCGCACUUCAAAAGUCUAGUACCAAUGUUUUCGAUUCAUGGGAUUCUAGUCGUUUCAUCUGUAACUUUACUGGAAUCGCCUGCAAUUCAGGUAAUUCAGUCACUGAAAUUGAACUCUCAAAUCAAAACUUAGUUGGGGUUGUUCCUUUCGAUUUAAUAUGCAAGCUCCAAUCCUUGGAAAAGCUCUCGCUUGGCUUCAAUUCAUUGUCGGGUAGAGUCACAGAUGACUUGAAUAAGUGCACAAAU
rnacentral:misc_RNA from 1 species